AAGUCGUAACAAGGUUUCCGUAGGUGAACCUGCGGAAGGAUCAUUAACACGUAUCCAACGUUAAACAACCCGUGAACCUUCAUGUUUCGUGUCUUACUUUUUAACUUCGAGGGCGUCUGGUAACUCACGUGAACAGAUUGACUCUAACGCUUGUGAGUGGGCAACUACAAGCAAGUGAAGGACAAUUUCUUGACUGACAUCGUUGGAUCGAGCCUGCCGUUAAGUGGGUGAGAUUCCUGUUGGUCUUGGAAAUCGGUGCAGCCACACGCUUCAUCGGACCUCAUCUCAGGGAUAAUCCCCCCUUUCUAUUCACCACCCCCUCCUACGCAAACGCUCGCCGGCAUGGUCCCGCUUGAGCAUUCAAAAAACCGAACAACUGUUAACAAUGGAUAUCUUGGUUCUC
rnacentral:misc_RNA from 1 species